rnacentral:tRNA from 1 species
GGUUGUAGCUCAGUGGUGGGGCACUUGCUUAGCAUGCAUGAGGCUAUGGGUUCAAUUCCCAGCACUG